AUGAAUCCAUCAAAAUAUCAGAAGUCUAAAAUGGAAUCAAGUUCGAAGAGUAUUAAGCAUGUGUACGUUCCACCUGGUACCUUAGCAAGGGGGCGAGGACAAAGCUUCAGAGCAAUGGGUUCUACAAGAGUAAAUGCUGAACAACGAGGUGAUACUCUUUUUCCUCAUGAAGAAGAAGAGAUGCAGGGCACUCAGAGAAGUAAAAUAAGUAUCUUAUUAUCUCAAGCUAUAAGAUAUUUCGUUAUUAUUGUAUAAGAACUAUUUUUAUAUUUGACUUAAAUUGGAAUUUGCAGGGCUUUGUGAAUCUGAAAAGGUAAAAAAUCUGAGAGGAACAAAUUGGUGUAAAAAUGUUGCAGGACUCAAAGCUGGAGAAAAUGUUGCGCCUCCUAGUUUUGAUCAAACAUUUGAAGGUGAUACUCUUUUUCCUCAUGGAGAAGAAGAGAUGCAGGGCACUCGAAGAAGUGAAAUAAGACUCAAAGUUGGAGAAAAUGUUGCGCCUCCUAUGGUUUUGAUCAACCAUUUGAAGGUGUUACUCUUUUUCCUCAUGAAAAAGAAGAGACGCAGGACACUCGGAGAAGUGAAA